rnacentral:snRNA from 15 species
GUACCUCCACUGGGGAGACACCAGGAUAAAGACAGUGGUUUUUCCCAGCAUGAGUGUCAUUCCUUACACAGAGGUGUGCUGACCCCUGCGAUUUACCCUAAGUAGGAAGCUCAGCUGUGUAAUUUGUGGUGACAGAGGAUUCUUCGG